rnacentral:rRNA from 1 species
AAUGAACGCUGGCGGCAGGCCUAACACAUGCAAGUCGAACGGAUCCUUCGGGAUUAGUGGCGGACGGGUGAGUAACGCGUGGGAACAUACCCAAAGGUACGGAAUAGCCUCGGGAAACUGGGAGUAAUACCGUAUGUGCUCGAAAGAGGAAAGAUUUAUCGCCUUUGGAUUGGCCCGCGUUGGAUUAGGUAGUUGGUGGGGUAAUGGCCUACCAAGCCGACGAUCCAUAGCUGGUUUGAGAGGAUGAUCAGCCAGACUGGGACUGAGAAACGGCCCAGACUCCUACGGGAGGCAGCAGUGGGGAAUCUUAGACAAUGGGGGAAACCCUGAUCUAGCCAUGCCGCGUGAUCGAUGAAGGCCUUAGGGUUGUAAAGAUCUUUCAGGUGGGAAGAUAAUGACUGUACCACCAGAAGAAGCCCCGGCUAACUCCGUGCCAGCAGCCGCCGUAA